ACAGGCCUCGUCCUACCUGUCUUCACCUGUAUAAUGACAUCAUCCUAUAGCUGAUCAAUUAAACAUUACAGGUAGUGAGUGAUUUCUCAGGAAGAGUGGGAAAUACUCGGGGGCAGAAUUGAGCCUGCGGUAUCAGUGUGAAGAAGGUAGAAGGCUCUCACAGUUUUCUAGUCAAACUCGUCAGCUUUGUUAUACCGAGUGAGCACACACCACGAAAGUGCAAAUAAUAUGCAUUUCCCAUCUCUGUCCACCAAGACGCCCCUGAAACAUCCCAGUAACAUCCCUGUCCGGAUGCCAAUUUCUAAAUAUUAUCCUCCCGUAAAGAGAACUCAUUAGAAUUUAUAUAUGGCUGCCUCCCCCAGUUGGGAGGCAGAGGCAGGUGGAUCUCUGUGAGUUUGAGGGCAGCCUGGUGGUCUACAGAGUUCCAGGACAGCCAGGGAUACCCAGAGAAACCCUGUCUGGAAAAACAAAACAAAGCAAAAAACUGGAUUCCUGGAUUGGGCAGAGAAAUUUUCAAAAUACACUGGAAUAUCUUACUCCUUUUUUUGCACAGAGGAGUGGGUAUAUUUGUAUUUCCUUGAGUCCCACUGGUUCCUAGAGAUCAGGUGCUCCAGCUGUGUAGGGCUCCACCGUGAGGAAUCUGAUGUGAAGGACAAAUUAGGAAGUGUUUGAGGGAUGAUGGGAGGAGGAGGGGCAUGCCCAAGGACGGAGGAGUGAUCUCUGCUUCUUCUGGCCAACAUGGGCAAGUUAAGAAACUAAUGCUGGGAAUGGAUUGUAAACUCUGGAAAGGAAAAGCUAUGAACUUAUAAUAAUGCAAACAAAUGAAUUAGUAAAUAGGCAGAGAGAAGCGACUCCUGCCUGUACCCUCACACCGUUCCAGGGAUUGACCUAUCCGCACAGUGAGUAAAUGAGAAAUAGGAAGUUAUGGACACUCAAAAGCUGGGAUCCGGUACACUGGGCUCCCCCAUAGGGAAGCCACAGUACCCCAGAAGGACAGCGUGUUUGUUUUCAAUUAAACAUGGAAGUGGGGUUAUUAAAUGCAACAUGCGCAUGCAAACACACACAGAGAGAGAGAGAGAGAGAGAGAGAGAGAGAGAGAGAGAGAGAGAGAGAGAGAGAGAGAGAGAGGUUUAGCUAAUCUCAGUAGGCACAGUAUACAGGGGAGUCUUCAGGCAAUAAAUAAUCAGGAUGAGAAAGCUACGGUGAACAUUUUCUGCACAUGUUAUCAACAUCCACACUUGGAUCAUUUGCCCUCUGGGCUGAGGCGUGGGAUUCCUUAACACAGUCAUGCCAUGACAACAACAUAGAUCCAUUCAAGACAUCAUUCAUUCAGGGCUCCCCACUCCCCACUCUGUGCAGUAGAACUGCAGUGUAAACGAAAACAGGCCAAUACAAAAGGAAGUACUUGUUCCUGUAGAGGGAGGUGGUGUCGAUUCCCUAAUUGGUUCUCGAUUGUGUCAAUAAAGGAGGCAGAAGCCAAUUGCUGGGCGAAGGGGGAAGGGUGGGACUUCAGGAUGGAAGGGAAGGGACACAGGGAAAGAGGAUUUCGGACCAGGCUUUGGAUCCCGGAGGAAGCUGCAGUCAUGUAGGUCAUAGGGCCCCUAGAGUUUGUAGCCUCCUUGUUGAGCAGGGGCCGAGGAGGACGGAGGGAGGCAUCUAGUUGAUAAGAUUAGGGCGGGAAAUUCUUCGCCCAGCCAUUGAGCUAUCUGGCUAGUUUUAAAAUAAUAAAAGUAGUCUCCCAUCCGUGGGACUGAGGUGGGCAGGAGGAGAAAGAGUGUUGGCAGCUUGGCGAAGCUAUCUCUGAGGGGUUGCAGGGAGUAGUUGCAAUUCCAGGGAGGAAAAAUGGCCUCUGGCUGUUGGCGGAGCUGAGUGAAAAUCUCUGAGCCUAUCCUGGAGCGCAGGCAGAGCUCCCAAGAAGGGGGAAGUGUGGGGGAAGUGUGCGAGUGUGUGUGUGUGUGUGUGUGUGUGUGUGUGUGUGUGUGUGUGUGUGUGUGUGUGUGUUUAAAUUACAUGCAACAAAUUCAAGUAUUGUACAAUCAAAGUACUUCCCUAGUGGAGUUUAUGAACUUUAAAUUGUUAGCAUGAUUCUGUUCUAAGAGUGUAAUGAGUUUUCCCAUCUUUUUUGUUAAAAUCCAGUAUUGUCGUUUUCUAUUGCUGUUCUUAUAAAUCACCAGAAGUGGGACUUAAUACCUACAAAUGUAUCAUUACACAGGACUACAGAUUCCAACUGUCAUUAAACUAAAACCAAGGUGUUUGUGUUUCUUUCUGAGGUUCUCGGGACUGGUUUAUUUUCCUGCCUUUCUGUAUUAAAGGCAGCUUGCAUCUCUUGGUUUGUAUACUCUCCUCCAUGUUCAAACACUGAUGGACAGUUAAAUUAUUCUCAUACCACAUUUCUCUAAUACUGUUUCUUCUUUCUCGCUUUCACUCCUGAGGACCCUCAUCGAUUCAGACAGCCACCUUACAGCCCUCCUGAGAGAACCCUGCUGCAGAGAACCCUGGAGCACAGUGACGGACCAGAAAGCCAGCCGUGCAACGUGCGCUGCCUUCUCGCAGAUGGAUGCAAACUGAGGGCUGUCCCGGCAUGAGGGAAAUGUGUAACGACAGAAGACUGUGGCCUUGUAUCCCAGGACCAACCAAUGCAGGAGGAUUGGUCAGCAUCUUCACCUUACAUGUAUUUCUACAUCCAGUUUUCCCGCUCUUCCUGGUACCAAUCACAGUGGCUUAGGGACAACCAUCUUAAUGACAACCUUUUCAUUUAAUUGCCAUCGAAGUCCUGCCUCCAGGCCCAGUCACCCUCAGGAACCAAUGGACUGCUUAACAAACCAUGAAACAACUAACCAACGACCUAGCCCACCUCGUGGGCUCUAGCAUUUACGUACCCUCUGAGAAGUCCUCGGAAUUCCAAAUGUCACACAUUUGCAGAAACGAUCUGCAGCCAGAGAAAUCACCAUGCCCGAGGAACCAAAAUUCCAAAAUUGUCAUUACACUGUACCAGAAGAACUUGAGGCAAUUUAGACUUUACCAAAAAAACCUAGCAUCCCAUGACUCAGAAAACAAUUUAGUGUGUGGCUGGACAGUGAAUGCUCCUGACAUCUUAGCAAUUGGUCCCAAGACCCCAAGGGUGCCAAAAUAGUCUGAUGAUGCUCCAACUCCCCAAGAAAACUGGUACAACACUUGCUCACAGCCUCACUCAGCACCCGUGCACAGUAGGUCAUCUCUAAGGGACCCAUAACUCUAGACACAAUGCCAAUGCUUUGUAAGUAGUUGUGCUGGACUGUUUAGGGAUGAGGAGAAGAGAAUAUCUACAUAUGCUCAGUAUAGAUGCACAUUUUAAAAAUACUUUGAUCUACAGUUCUUUGACUAAGGAUGAAGAACUCAAAGAGAAGAGGUCACGCUCUCUUUCUUGGUUCUUACUAACAUUCUGCACACAUACAUUUAUCAAAAUGGCUUUGAGGCUGAAUGCCUCCACUUUUGCAUACCUCUUGCAUUGUAGACCUUCCGUUGUUACGGUGAUGGCUAAUCUUGGUUAUCAACUUGACUACAUCUAGAAUCAACUAAAACCCAAGCAACUCCACACACCUGUGAGGGAUUUUUUUUUUUUUCAAUUGGAUCAUUUGAGGUGGAAAAUCUGGUUCAAAUCUGGUAGCAGCCCACAAAAAAGGACAUGGAAGGAGGAAACUUUUGAUUUUUGCCUGCUUGCCUUCACUCUUACUAGCAAGUACAUCUGCCUUGUUGCUUCUUCGGGAUUCCAAUACAGACUGAAGACUAGCAGCUCUCUAGGACUCCAGCACCAAAGUGGGACUUUGGAGACAUCCAAUCUCUUGGACUUUCUGUUUAGAAGUGCCCACCAUCAGACCCCAACCUGUAACCACUCUAAUAAAUUUGAUAAAUUUUGUCCCCCAAGA
rnacentral:sRNA from 1 species